CCAUGUCCAAUCUUAAAGUCAUAUAAAGCAAUUCGCACAGAACAGUGUACAAACUUGAAACCAAGAAGAUGGGUGUUGUACACAGAUAAAGCUAUUGAAAUGAGAUGUAGGUAUCAUUUUUACAGGAUAAUAGUGAAACUUGUUCCAAGGAAUGAUGUUUUUCCACUUCUUCAUGCAAAAAUAAAUUCUGUAAAAGUAGGUGCAUGUUGAUCAGUUGUAAAAAAGUUAUGCAAAACCAUUGACAUAUAAUCUAAUUUAUAUAUUGAUCUUUCUGUUUUAAGUGAAACAAAGAUAUAAUAAUGUCAACUGCUCAUUUGAAGAAGGAUUUUGCAAUUGGAAAAAUAGUCUUAAUAACAAUAUGGAUUGGCGAAUGAAUAGUGGAAAAACAAAAAGCUACAAAACUGGUCCUUCCAAUGAUCAUACAUUUAAAAAUGAAAAAGGCAAAUACGUCUUCAUUGAAGAUCUAUAUCUUACGACAACAAAGUGAAAAAAGGAGAUGUUGCUAGAUUGAUCAGUCCAAAUAUCAGAGCACCACGAAUUUGUUUCAAUAUGUUUUAUAUGUACGGUAGAGAUAUAGGUAGCCUAAAAAUUAAACUUCUGUAUGCGAAUAGUACUGAACAGGAAGUAUGGAAUAAAUCAGGAAACCAACAAGAUGGCUGGAAGAAGAUGCAAAUUUCUUUGCAUUCUGUUGCUAACUACAGAAUUGUGGUUGAAGCUGUUCGUGGAGUAUAUUGGACUAGUAAUAUUGCUAUAGAUGACAUAUCAGUGGUGGCUGGAUUGUGUAAUUCUGAUCAGAAAGAUCAGAAUCCCUGUGUGAUUUCCUGUCGUUCACGCAAUGCACAAUCUUUUAAAAUGGGCAUAAAAGUUAAAGAUGGAACGAAAUGCUAUUCCAAUAGGAGCAGUGAUAUGUGUAUUCAAGGAGUAUGCAAGAAAUUUGGAUGUGAUAAUAAGUUUGGUUCCACUUUAACAUUUGAUAACUGUAUGGUUUGUGGUGGCGACGGCUCGUCAUGUAUAAGACGAACUGCCAAAUCAGAAUUAACUCCAGCGAAAGAUUACGAAAUUUUUCUCAAGCUAUCGAAAGAUUCAACGUUUAUCAACAUAACGGAAACAUCACAUAAACCACAUUAUAUCGGCUUACGUAAAAUGUUUCACAACAGUAUCUACUUGAGUACGAAGUAUGAAGAUUAUUUUGUGAUUGAUGGCGUUUCUUUCCACUUUCAGAAAGUUUCUAAUGGUUUUCAACACAUUUCAUGUCAAGGUCCUCUUCAAAAAGAUAUCGAUGUCGUUGCGUACACUUUUACCAGUGAACGAAUACGACCUCUUUCAUUGGCUUAUGAAUACUUUGGUCCAAUCAGUGGGAAAGUAACGUACCAAUACAAGAUUAACAGAUGGCAAACAUGCUCUCGUUCUUGUGGCACAGGAAAACAACAAUCUGUAGUUGCUUGCAUUCGCUUACAAGAUUCACAAGAAGUUAAUCACAAACAUUGUCGACAUCAGAAAAAGCCGCUUUAUAUAAGAUCUUGUAAUUUGCAAGAAUGCCGAAGAAAGUUCAAAUGGGUCAUCAGGAAAUGGAGCGACUGUUCUAAGACGUGCGGUGCAGAUUCUAGAAAAACUCGAGUUGUAGAAUGUUUAAAUGUAUUUGAAAAUGUUUUAACCCAACCUUCUUUUUGUCCUCGAAGAACUCCCAUCACAACAAUACGAUGCCCCACCAAAGAAUGCCCACGAGUAUAUAAAUGGACCACAGGCGAAUGGAAAAGUUGCUCGAAAUCAUGCGGAAUUGGUACCCGCACUCGAACAGUAAAAUGCAUUGAUGCCGAAAGUAAAAACACUGUUGAUGACGUCAAAUGUGUCACUAAAAGCAAGCCAAACGUUUUGGAGCCUUGUAACAUACAAGAGUGCGAUAUCUUCAUAUGGCGCGUUCACUUAGAAGGGAAAUGUUCGCAGACCUGUGGAGGAGGGUAUAAAGUUCGUAUAGUGUAUUGCGUUAACGAGAAGACUAAGUUAUUUGUUGAGAAUCGAUACUGCGAUGGUCCUUCACCGCAGAGAAUAGUGCGGUGCAAUGAACAACAAUGUCCUGAAUAUGCUUGGGGUAUUGUUGAAUCGAGUCCGUGUUCAGUCACGUGUGGAAACGGAACAAAAGAAAGAACAAUACAGUGUGUUGAUAAAGCAACCAAUCAGAACACAGCUGACAAAAAAUGCUUGCAUAAAAAGCCCCCAAAAAUCAUUUCUUGUUACGAAAGAAAAUGUCCAGGCUUCAAUGUAGCCUAUACCACAUGGGGUAGUUGUAGUGCAGCUUGUGGACGUGGUAUCCAGAAGAGAGAAGCUUACUGUGUAUCAGAAAACUAUGAGACGAUCUUAUCUCCUAAAGAAUGUGCAAAGGGAGAUUUGUUAUUAAAGAGAAGCUGUCAAAGAACACCAUGCGCGAGAUCAGAUAAACUUUUCUGUAAUUUUGAUUCACAAACCUACUGUGAUUGGGAAAACACUAAAGACGAUGAUUUUGAUUGGACAAUUGGUAAAUCUACACCUUCAAUUAAUACUGGCCCGUCGAAAGAUCAUACAACGCGUUCAGGUUAUUUCGCAUACAUCGAAGCAUCUCGACCUAGAAAACGUGGCCAUUAAGCUGAAUUAACCUCAAAAUACCUCAAGAUGAAAAAAGGCUGUCUGGAGUUUUGGUAUUACAUGAAAGGUCCAUCGGUAGGCCAGUUACGAGUUCGCGCUGUAUCUAGCCUUGGUGAGCGGGUAGCGUUUGAAAGAGAGGCUCACCAAGGUGGACGUUGGUUGCAGGCAAAAAUACUUGCCAACGAGACAGAAGCAGCAUCAGGCUACAAGUACGUUCAUGUCAAGGUCCUCUUCAAAAAGAUAUCGAUGUCGUUACGUACACAUUUUCCAGUGAACGCAUACGACCUCUUUCAUUGGUUUAUGAAUACUUUAAUCCAAUCACUGAGAAAGUAACGUACCAAUUACAAGAUUAAAAGAUGGCAAACAUGCUCCAGCUCCUGUGGUGCAGGAAAACAACAAUCUGUAGUUGCUUGUAUUCGCUUACAAGAUUCACAAGAAGUUAAUCACAAACAUUGUCGAUAUCAGAAAAAACCGCUUUAUAUUAGAUAUUGUAAUUUGCAAGAAUGCCGAAGAAAGUUUCAAUGGGUCAUCAAACAAUGGAGUAAAUGCUCUAAAACUUGCGGUUCUGCUUCCAGAAAAGCUCGAGUUGUGGAAUGCUUAAACGUAUUUGACAACCUUCUAGCGGAUCGUUCUUUUUGUUCACAGAAAGCUCCGAUU